UUUCUCCUGACCCUCAAAUCGAGUGGCAGAAUGGCCUAAUGGAUGACGACAUACCUCUAGACUCCUCCUUUUGGGAGAAGUUUCUUCAGAGUCCACCACCUGUUGAGGUUGACCAGAUGGAUUCAACCAUAUUAGAAGAUUCUAUGGUCGACGAAACCAAGAAAGUUGAAAAUGGAUGGAACAAAGCGGAUCACAUGGAACAGCUUACCGAACAAAUGGGGCAGCUAACUUCCAAAAACAACAAAGAUCAGCCUCCUCCUCCUCUCUAGACAAAUGUAAAUGAGGCCAUGCUAUGUAGUAUGUAGUGCAAGGUCCAGUGGACUUCAUUGGGAUGUGGUAUUGAAGGCUUCUUCCUUGUACUUUUACUUUGUUUCCCAUAAUGCAAUCUGUAGCUUAUUUUAUAUGAUAA